rnacentral:rRNA from 1 species
UACGAAGGGGGCGAGCGUUGUUCGGAAUUACUGGGCGUAAAGGGCGCGUAGGCGGUGUGUCAAGUCAGGCGUGAAAGCCCCGGGCUCAACCUGGGAACUGCGCUUGAGACUGGCACGCUCGAGUUCGGGAGAGGAUGGUGGAAUUCCCAGUGUAGAGGUGAAAUUCGUAGAUAUUGGGAAGAACACCGAUGGCGAAGGCAGCCAUCUGGACCGACACUGACGCUGAGGCGCGAAAGCGUGGGGAGCAAACAGG